GAAGAAGCCAUUUCAGACGUCCAGCCCAGAUGAGGCUUCAGAUGACUCCAGCCCAGCUGCUAUCUGACUGCAACAACACGAGAUACCCCAAGGGAGAACCACCAAGCUGAGCACAGUCAACCACAGAACUGACCAUCACGAAGGAAAAAGGAGAUUUUUGCUUGUUAAAUCCCUAACCUGAAGCCUGGAAUAAAACAAGCCUUCAAGACUUGCUGCCAAGCAACUUGAGAUUACUCUCCUUUUUCGUCCUUGAGUUCCUGCAAACACCUAAACCGUGACAGGCCAGAGAGUUCAUCUCAGCGUCUGAACUAGGUCAUCAUCAUAAAUUCUGUCACAUACCUGAUUUGCCUCUGGGUGUGCUGUACACGCACCAGACCAUAUGUGUGUUCACGUGAGCUUGUCACUCGGCCAAGAAGAGGUAGAACAAGAAGGGUGACUUUAUUUCCCACCCCUCAACCCGCCAAAGUCAACGUCAAAGUGGGAGUGGGUACCGGGUCCUUUAACAGACUGCCACUGUAGUCAAAUCUGUGACCCGGGAUGCCGCCCCAGAGGCACCCGAGUCAAUGUCUUCCGAACGUAGUGGACAAGCGCGCAGCUGG